UACAGAGGGGGCAAGCGUUAUUCGGAAUUAUUGGGCGUAAAGGGCGCGUAGGCGGCUUCGCAAGUCCGGGGUGAAAGCCCCCAGCUCAACUGGGGAAGUGCCUUGGAUACUGCGGGGCUCGAGCGAGGCAGGGGUCGUGGGAACUUCCGGUGGAGCGGUGAAAUGCGUUGAUAUCGGAAGGAACGCCGGUGGCGAAGGCGGUUCUCUGGGACGGUACUGACGCUGAGACGCGAAAGCGUGGGGAGCGAACAGG
rnacentral:rRNA from 1 species